rnacentral:rRNA from 1 species
GACGAACGCUGGCGGCGUGCUUAACACAUGCAAGUCGAACGGAAAGGCCUCUUUCGGGGGGUACUCGAGUGGCGAACGGGUGAGUAACACGUGAGUAACCUGCCCUUGACUUUGGGAUAACUUCAGGAAACUGGGGCUAAUACCGGAUAGGAGCUCCUGCUGCAUGGUGGGGGUUGGAAAGUUUCGGCGGUUGGGGAUGGACUCGCGGCUUAUCAGCUUGUUGGUGGGGUAGUGGCUUACCAAGGCUUUGACGGGUAGCCGGCCUGAGAGGGUGACCGGCCACAUUGGAACUGAGAUACGGCCCAGACUCCUACGGGAGGCAGCAGUGGGGAAUAUUGCACAAUGGGUGGAAGCCUGAUGCAGCAACGCCGGGUGCGGGAUGACGGCCUUCGGGUUGUAAACCGCUUUCGCUCAUGACGAAGCUUUGUGUGACGGUAGUGGGUAAAGAAGCACCGGCUAACUACGUG